rfam:Salmonella enterica subsp. enterica serovar Newport str. S09097 S_Newport_S09097_mira454_c329, whole genome shotgun sequence.
AGUGCUUCAAUGUGAACAUUAAGCACCACAUUGGUGCAAUAGAACGCAAGCCACCCUUUUAACGCUCCGUGAAAGCGAUCACAAAGAGACUCUGCAAUACUUGUUUGC